GACGAACGCUGGCGGCGUGCCUAAUACAUGCAAGUAGAACGCACAGUUUAUACCGUAGCUUGCUACACCAUAGACUGUGAGUUGCGAACGGGUGAGUAACGCGUAGGUAACCUGCCUGGUAGCGGGGGAUAACUAUUGGAAACGAUAGCUAAUACCGCAUAAUAUUAAUUAUUGCAUGAUAAUUAAUUGAAAGGUGCAAUUGCACCACUACCAGAUGGGCCUGCGUUGUAUUAGCUAGUAGGUGAGGUAACGGCUCACCUAGGCGACGAUACAUAGCCGACCGGAGAGGGUGAUCGGCCACACUGGGACUGAGACACGGCCCAGACUCCUACGGGAGGCAGCAGUAGGGAAUCUUCGGCAAUGGACGAAAGUCUGACCGAGCAACGCCGCGUGAGUGAAGAAGGUUUUCGGAUCGUAAAGCUCUGUUGUAAGAGAAGAACGGGUGUGAGAGUGGAAAGUUCACACUGUGACGGUAUCUUACCAGAAAGGGACGGCUAACUACGUG
rnacentral:rRNA from 1 species